rnacentral:rRNA from 1 species
UACGGGGGGGGCAAGCGUUGUUCGGAAUUACUGGGCGUAAAGGGCUCGUAGGCGGCCAACUAAGUCAGACGUGAAAUCCCUCGGCCUAACCGGGGAACUGCGUCUGAUACUGGAUGGCUUGAGUUUGGGAGAGGGAUGCGGAAUUCCAGGUGUAGCGGUGAAAUGCGUAGAUAUCUGGAGGAACACCGGUGGCGAAGGCGGCAUCCUGGACCAACACUGACGCUGAGGAGCGAAAGCCAGGGGAGCAAACGGG